rnacentral:rRNA from 1 species
UACGAAGGGGGCUAGCGUUGCUCGGAAUCACUGGGCGUAAAGCGCACGUAGGCGGGUCUUUAAGUCAGGGGUGAAAUCCUGGAGCUCAACUCCAGAACUGCCUUUGAUACUGAGGAUCUCGAGUCCGGGAGAGGUGAGUGGAACUCCGAGUGUAGAGGUGAAAUUCGUAGAUAUUAGGAAGAACACCAGUGGCGAAGGCGGCUCACUGGCUCGGUACUGACGCUGAGGCGCGAAAGCGUGGGGAGCAAACAGG